rnacentral:rRNA from 1 species
UACAAUGAAGAGUUUGAUCCUGGCUCAGGAUGAACGCUAGCGGCAGGCCUAAUACAUGCAAGUCGAACGGUAACAUUGGUGCUUGCACCAGAUGACGAGUGGCGCACGGGUGCGUAACGCGUAUGCAACCUACCUUUUACUAGAGUAUAGCCCAGAGAAAUUUGGAUUAAUCCUCUAUAACAUCUUUUAAUUUCAUGAUUUUUUGAUUAAAGUUUCGACGGUAAAAGAUGAGCAUGCGUCCUAUUAGUUUGUAGGUGAGGUAAUGGCUCACCUAGACUACGAUAGGUAGGGGCCCUGAGAGGGGGAUCCCCCACACUGGUACUGAGACACGGACCAGACUCCUACGGGAGGCAGCAGUGAGGAAUAUUGGACAAUGGACGAAAGUCUGAUCCAGCUAUGCCGCGUGCAGGAUGACAGCCCUACGGGUUGUAAACUGCUUUUAUACAGGAAGAAAAACUCCGACGUGUCGGA